rnacentral:rRNA from 1 species
AGAAUCAACGCUGGCGGCGUGCCUAACACAUGCAAGUCGAACGAGAAAGUGGUAGCAAUACCAUGAGUAAAGUGGCGCACGGGUGAGUAACACGUGACUAACCUACCCUGGAGUGGGGGAUAACUGAGGGAAACCUUAGCUAAUACCGCAUAACACCUACGGGUCAAAGGAGCAAUUCGCUUAAGGAGGGGUCGCGGCAGAUUAGUUAGUUGGCGGGGUAAUGGCCCACCAAGACGGUGAUCUGUAUCCGGCCUGAGAGGGCGCACGGACACACUGGAACUGAAACACGGUCCAGACUCCUACGGGAGGCAGCAGUGGGGAAUUUUGCGCAAUGGGGGAAACCCUGACGCAGCAACGCCGCGUGGAGGAUGAAGUCCCUUGGGACGUAAACUCCUUUCGAUCGGGACGAUUAUGACGGUACCGGAAGAAGAAGCCCCGGCUAACUUCGUGCCAGCAGCCGC